AAUAUUUAGACCUGGGUUUGACUCACGCUCAUGCUACCUGUCUGUGUCCUUUAACAAGACACAUAAUUCACAUUGUCUCAGUCAACCCAGUUGUAAAUGGCCUGUUCAGGGGGAGCUGUAG